CGGCACUUUUUGAAAUUGGCCCUUCUGUGAAAAAAAAUCUCGACAAAUUGGCCCUUCCUCUCUGUAAUAUAUAUUUUUACAGUGACUGAUAAGCCAAUAUGCCUGGCUGGGUGUUGUUUAUUUUAAAUAUUACAUAUGUUUGAUUGUAUAUUGUUCAACUAUUAAUCAAUAUGUGACUUUUAAAAGAUAUUUAUUAUUUAUUUAUUAUUUGUUAUUAUGAC
rnacentral:lncRNA from 1 species